GCUCUAAAUUAAACUCCAAGUCCUCCCUGAAGAAGUUAGCGAAGAGCUGCUCAGAGCCGGACUACAUGGUGAAAAUCAGCCAAAGAAACAUGAUAUCAACUUCAAAGGAACUUCAGUCAGGAUCUUCUCCUCGGCCUGAUGAAUUAUUGAGGCUCUCUGCAAGCGGCCUUGGGUUGUGAAAGGAACCAGGGAAUGGCUUCUUGAGAUCCGCAGAACCCAGAGAAUGCAGGAUGGAGCAGGUGGAGGCCUUGGGUUUUGCAAACCUGACCUUCUUAGAAGCUGAGGGUUGCACCACCCUGAAUCGCAGCCUGGUCCUUUUCGACGGGAUGAUGGGUUGAGGGAUUGCAGAAGAUGGCGGAGGAGUGAUCGUUUGGCCUGGGAGCUUUGGUUACCAGUGUUGACCUUCAGAUAACAACAAUCCUCAAGGCGCUGUCUCUACCUGGGUGAAGAUGAUCGAUCUCAUCUAGGGCUGCACAAUUAAUCGAAUUUUAUAAUCAUCGGCGAUAUUAACAUUUGAAUAGCGGGCUCUGCUGCAUAUCAAAUCAAGCACUUUCUCAACCAAAAGUCAGCCAACCACCAGGGGGCGAACGAAAGCAUAGACUGUAUGAGCGGCAACCUCAAAUUGUGACUGAGUGAGACGUAAUGUCGGGAGUAGAAUGUCAUAUGUUUUUGUGCUUAUUAAUUUAAGUAUUUCCAAAGAUUAAUCUUAAUUGCCCAACAGUGAUAAAAUAAAAGCCUUGCUUUAACAUAAAUACUAUAAGAAUAGAUCGCUUUAAUUGCUAUUACAGUUGGAUUGGCACGCGGUCUUAUUUAAAAAAGAUACAAAAAGAGACGCAUAUAAUGUUUAUUCAUUCGUUUUGUAUUUGUCCUAGUAACAAAGCAAAGGAAUGAUAAGCCGCUUCAGUCGAAAACUGCAUUUUGCUUCUUAUUUCAAAUAAAAUUCUGGGUUGGCAACUUUGGUCGGCUGCAUGGAGUGAGAUUUUCUGUUCUCUGUUCUGCACAUACA